UACGUAGGGGGCUAGCGUUGUCCGGAAUCAUUGGGCGUAAAGAGCGUGUAGGCGGCCCGGUAAGUCCGCUGUAAAAGUCAAAGGCUCAACCUUUGAAUGUCAGUGGAUACUGCCAGGCUAGAGUCCGGAAGAGGCGAGUGGAACUCCUGGUGUAGCGGUGGAAUGCGCAGAUAUCAGGAAGAACACCAACGGCGAAGGCAGCUCGCUAGGACGGUACUGACGCUGAGACGCGAAAGCGUGGGGAGUGAACAGG
rnacentral:rRNA from 1 species